rnacentral:pre_miRNA from 1 species
GUCACUUGGGGAGCUUGUGAAAAUGCAUAUUCUGAUCCGGUAGGUUUGGGGUAGACCUAAGAUUCUGCAUUUUUAACAAGCUUUCAGGUGAUGCUAA